GGUGAGAUGGCCGAGUUGGUUAUGGCGCCAGGUUAAGGUUCACGCCUUAGCAUUACAUCCUGGUAGGGAAACCUGCGUGGGUUCAAGUCCCACUCUCAUCA
rnacentral:tRNA from 1 species